AGGAACUUGAUUAGGGAGGUUGCUGGAUUCGCUCCCUAUGAGAAAUGUAUCACUGAGCUUCUUAAGGUUGGAAAGGACAAGCGUGCACUCAAGGUCGCCAAGAGAAAGCUUGGUACUCACAAGAGAGCAAAGAAGAAGAGAGAGGAGAUGUCAAGUGUCCUUAGGAAGAUGAGGUCUGCUGGUGGUGGUGGUGCUGGUGACAA